UACGUAGGGGGCUAGCGUUAUCCGGAAUUAUUGGGCGUAAAGGGUGCGUAGGUGGUUUCUUAAGUCAGAGGUGAAAGGCUACGGCUCAACCGUAGUAAGCCUUUGAAACUGAGAAACUUGAGUGCAGGAGAGGAGAGUAGAAUUCCUAGUGUAGCGGUGAAAUGCGUAGAUAUUAGGAGGAAUACCAGUUGCGAAGGCGGCUCUCUGGACUGUAACUGACGCUGAGGCACGAAAGCGUGGGGAGCAAACAGG
rnacentral:rRNA from 1 species